GGCUCAGGAUGAACGCUGGCGGUAUGCUUAACACAUGCAAGUCGAACGGUCUUUUCGGAGAUAGUGGCGGACGGGUGAGUAACGCGUGAGAAUCUGGCUUCAGGUCGGGGAUAACUACUGGAAACGGUAGCUAAUACCGGAUAUGCCGAGAGGUGAAAGGUUAACUGCCUGGAGAUGAGCUCGCGUCUGAUUAGCUAGUUGGUGGGGUAAGAGCCUACCAAGGCGACGAUCAGUAGCUGGUCUGAGAGGAUGAUCAGCCACACUGGGACUGAGACACGGCCCAGACUCCUACGGGAGGCAGCAGUGGGGAAUUUUCCGCAAUGGGCGAAAGCCUGACGGAGCAAUACCGCGUGAGGGAGGAAGGCUCUUGGGUCGUAAACCUCUUUUCUCAGGGAAGAAAAAAAUGACGGUACCUGAGGAAUAAGCAUCGGCUAACUCCGUGCCAGCAGCCGCGGUAAUACGGAGGAUGCAAGCGUUAUCCGGAAUGAUCGGGCGUAAAGCGUCCGCAGGUGGCAAUGUAAGUCUGCUGUUAAAGAGUCUAGCUCAACUAGAUAAGGGCGGUGGAAACUACAUAGCUAGAGUACGUUCGGGGCAGAGGGAAUUCCUGGUGUAGCGGUGAAAUGCGUAGAUAUCAGGAAGAACACCGGUGGCGAAAGCGCUCUGCUAGGCCGUAACUGACACUGAGGGACGAAAGCUAGGGGAGCGAAUGGGAUUAGAUACCCCAGUAGUCCUAGCCGUAAACGAUGGAUACUAGGCGUGGCUUGUAUCGACCCGAGCCGUGCCGUAGCUAACGCGUUAAGUAUCCCGCCUGGGGAGUACGCACGCAGUGUGAAACU
rnacentral:rRNA from 1 species